rnacentral:rRNA from 1 species
GCACUUCGAACAGAAGAGUGAAACAGUUCCUGAAACCGUGCGCCUACAAUCCGUCGGAGCCUCCUUGUGGGGUGACGGCGUGCCUAUCGAAAAAUGAGUCUGCGAGUCAGUGGUGCGUGGCGAGGCUAACCCGUGGUGGGGGAGCCGUAGCGAAGGCGAGUCUCAAAAGGCGUUUUGAGUCGCGCGCCCUGGACCCGAAGCGGGAUGAUCUAGCCCUGGGCAGGUUGAAGCGCGGGUAAGACCGCGUGGAGGACCGAACCCACCUGGGUUGAAAACCGGGGGGAUGACCUGGGGCUAGGGGUGAAAGGCCAAUCAAAUUCCGUGAUAGCUGGUUCUCUCCGAAAUGCAUUUAGGUGCAGCGUCGGUUGAUUGCAUCGCGGGGGUAGAGCUACUGGAUGCUUGCGGGCCCGUGUCGGGUACCAAUAGCAGCCAAACUCCGAAUACCGUGGAUGUGUAUUCCGGCAGUGAGUCGGCGGGGGAUAAGCUCCGUCGUCGAGAGGGAGACAGCCCAGAUCGUCGUCUAAGGUCCCGAAGCGUGUGCUAAGUGGGAAAGGAUGUGGAGUCGCAUAGACAGCCAGGAGGUUGGCUCAGAAGCAGCCAUCCUUUAAAGAGUGCGUAACAGCUCACUGGUCUAGUGGUUCCGCGCCGACAAUGUAGCGGGGCUCAAGCACACCACCGAAGACGCGGCAGCGGCCUUUGCGGCCGUUGGGUAGGAGAGCGUCCCGCGUGGGGCGAAGCGGCCGGGGAACCGUGCCGUGGACCGCGCGGGAGUGAGAAUGCAGACAUGAGUAGCGAGAGACGGGUGAGGAUCCCGUCCGCUGGAUGACCAAGGGUUCCGGGGCCACGUUCGUCGUCCCCGGGUGAGUCGGGUCCUAAGGCGAGGCCGACAGGCGUAGUCGAAUGGAUGAACGGGUGGAUAUUCCCGUACCGGCGGCGUACCGUAAGAGCCGAACGGAUGAGUACUAACCUCCGGUCGCGUGGCGUCGUUCCCUUCGGGGUUCGGGGCGCGUGGCUGUUGGGAAUGUAGUCCUGGUAGGCUAGCGCACAGGGGUGACACGGAAUGGGAGCCGGCCGCGGAGGUGGUUUUCCGUGGUCAAGCACGCAGCCCGUCCCAUAGGCAAAUCCGUGGGACGCAUAGGGUGAGGUGUGAUGAUGGGCGUCCUUUGGACGCGAUAUCCGGUGGUCCAGGCCGUCGAGAAAAGCCUCGGCGCGAGGGGCGUCGCCGCCCGUACCCCAAACCGACACUGGUGGUCAGGUAGAGAAUACCAAGGCGAUCGAGCGAAUCCUGGUCAAGGAACUCGGCAAAUCACUCCCGUGCCUUCGGUAUAAGGGAGACCCCCGGGCGUGAAGAGGCUUGCCCUCGGAGCGUUGGGGGGUGGCACAGACCAGGGGGUAGCGACUGUUUACCAAAAACACAGGUGCAUGCGAAGGCGCAAGCCGCUGUAUAUGCACUGACGCCUGCCCGGUGCCGGAAGGUUAAGAGGAUCCGUCAGCCCCUUUUGGGGUGAAGCGGUGAAUUCAAGCCCCGGUAAACGGCGGUGGUAACUAUAACCAUCCUAAGGUAGCGAAAUUCCUUGUCGGGUAAGUUCCGACCUGCACGAAUGGCGUAACGACUUCUCCGCUGUCUCAACCGCGAACUCGGUGAAAUUGCAGUACGAGUAAAGAUGCUCGUUUCGCGCAGAAGGACGGAAAGACCCCGGGACCUUUACUAUAGC